rnacentral:misc_RNA from 1 species
GCCGAUAUGAAUGAUGGUAUUAAAUUAUUUAGGAAUGCAGUAGUGUACUAAUAUUCUAUUUCAGAAAAGACUUUAGAUUUUAUGAAGGAAAUUGCACUCUUAGUAAAUUACCACAAUAAUUAAGAGCCUGCAAUGGUACAACCAGAACCAGCUGAAGCAUAUGACAAGGCCUACACUCCCAUACCUCUCCUUCACCACUCUUAUCUUCCUCUUUUCUUCUUCUCCCUUCUUUCCUCUCUUUUUAUUCGCCUCUUGUUAUCUAAUCCACUACCCAUACUUGCCAAUUUUUCUUUCUAGUAAUUAAGAUGUAUUAUCUUCUCUGUGUGCCUUUUCCUCUCCUUUUCUCAGCAUGGGAAACCAAAACUUUAUCCUACAAGUUCUGAGAAAUGCCAAAACCAUCAAAGGUGCAAGUUAGAAAAAUCAGAUUGAUUUUGAUUCCUGUUACACUCUUAAAAUGCCAAUCUUCUUUUAAAUUACUCAAGCAAACGACUCAGUUCCUUUUGUCAGAAAGUCA